CACGGUUUCCGCUUAGUUUGUCAGUUUAGUUGGUAUGACUGACAUUAGAUAAAAUAAAAAUAGAUAUGUCAGCUGAUAAAAUAUUCAAUAGUUUUUCGUUUGUUGAAAUGUCUGAAAUGUGAUGGGAUUAUGCAGCACAUGUAUCCCUUCACCAGUUCACUGGCUUCAGUUUGAAUAUAGACUAGAGUUGAGACUAAAUGUGUACAAACCUGACAUCUAACUAUGUUGUAGAAAAUGUGAUCAUCAAUUUAUCAAAAAUUUAUACACAGAGAACAAUAUAUUUCACAAUACAUAUGCAUUAAUCCAAAUUCACAUCUAUUCGUACGGUCUCAAU
rnacentral:lncRNA from 1 species